rnacentral:rRNA from 1 species
UACGAAGGGGGCUAGCGUUGCUCGGAAUCACUGGGCGUAAAGCGCACGUAGGCGGCUUUCUAAGUCAGGGGUGAAAUCCUGGAGCUCAACUCCAGAACUGCCUUUGAUACUGAAGAUCUUGAGUUCGGGAGAGGUGAGUGGAACUGCGAGUGUAGAGGUGAAAUUCGUAGAUAUUCGCAAGAACACCAGUGGCGAAGGCGGCUCACUGGCCCGGUACUGACGCUGAGGUGCGAAAGCGUGGGGAGCAAACAGGG